UACAGAGGUCUCAAGCGUUGUUCGGAUUCAUUGGGCGUAAAGGGUGCGUAGGCGGCGCGGUAAGUCGGAUGUGAAAUCUCGGGGCUUAACUCCGAAACUGCAUUCGAUACUACCGUGCUUGAGGACUGGAGAGGAGACUGGAAUUUACGGUGUAGUGGUGAAAUGCGUAGAUAUCGGGAGGAACACCAGUGGCGAAGGCGACUUCCUGGCCUGUUCUUGACGCUGAGGCGCGAAAGCUAGGGGAGCAAACGGG
rnacentral:rRNA from 1 species